AGGGGCGUAGCUCAGCUGGUAGAGCAUUGGUCUCCAAAACCAAGGGUCGUGGGUUCGAAUCCUGCCGCCCCUG
rnacentral:tRNA from 1 species